CGAAAUCGCCCAGAGCCUGAUCAGUGCUGGACGAAGUCUAACUGCUUUUUAGUCACUGCAAACCAAGGAGCUCCACUUUAAAAGCGGCGAAGCGGCGCAGUGAAUCAUGAAUCUGCAAUGAAAGACUCAGGAGAACCUUUGGGUCUCUUUCCGGGGCACUUCCAGCCUCCCGGGGGUUAAGAAAGGAUUGCUAUAAAUCCCUGACUUUCUCGGGGAAGCGCCUGGAGAACCUGGAAGCCAUGGCUCAUCUACAGCAGACCGAUCUGUCAUAUGCGUGGGAAAAGUAUAUGGACUGUAGGCUGCAGGGAGCGGAUCUGCAGAUCAGCCUUCAGAGUCUGGAGAAUUUCCUCUGUCUCUUCCACUACGUGCAACACCACCCCAAUAACAGCACCAAAGAUGCUCUAAAAUUCUGGUAAGAUUUCCUCACCGUAUCAUCGUUUUACAUUAAUCAAUGUGUUUAUCUCACUUGGCAUGUGUAAGACCUUGGUGGUGUAUUUGAAAUCCAUUAAAACUGUGGCAGUUCUUUACAGUUACAGGAAACUUUUAAUCAUAAUUUUUGAUAGAAAUAAUGACCAAAGAGUUCAGUGAGUUCUGAUCGGAUGCACAAUAUAUCGAAUCAGAAUGUGUUUGUGAAACAUUGCAAUCGCAAGAAAUGCUUGGGGACAAUAUUUGGUGGGACACAAUAUUUUAAAUGUUAUGCAUUGUUGUUCCAGUUUUAAUAAUAUUUUUUCUCCUCGUAUUUCUUCCCCACUUUUUAUUGGGAAGAAAACUACGAUCAGUCUCAUUGUAGUUUUCAGAAAUGGUAUCGGCUUUACCUUUUUACGUUUUCCUAAACUAUUUUAAAAUAUUUUCUCAUCUUUAAAAGCUGUCGCUUCCCUUUACAUUUUAAGUAUUGAAGUGAGACUAAUAUAAGGUUACAACACUGACUUUAAAACUUUGAAUCGCAGGUGCUUAAAUAUUUUAGAAGUAAAUAUUUUCAUAUUGUGGAUGUUUUGAUUUCUGUAUUUUCAGCUUUGUGGUUUUUAACUCAAGGGUUUCAAAGAGUUUCAGGACUUUACAAAGUCAUUAAUACUAGGCAUCAGUCCAAUCAGACUUUUUAAAAAGACUGACCU